ACAAUAGGUUGCGAAGCCGCGAGGUGGAGCCGAAUCCAGCAAAACUUCCCUCAGUUCAGAUUGCAGGCUGCAACUCGCCUGCAUGAAGUUGGAGUUGCUAGUAAACGCAGGUCAGCCAUACUGCGUUGAAUACGUUCCCGGGCUU
rnacentral:rRNA from 1 species